rnacentral:rRNA from 1 species
CCUACGGGAGGCAGCAGUGGGGAAUAUUGCACAAUGGGGGAAACCCUGAUGCAGCGACGCCGCGUGAGUGAAGAAGGAAUUCGGUAUGUAAAGCUCUAUCAGCAGGGAAGAAAAUUACGGUACCUGAGUAAUAAUCCCCGGCGAACUACGUUCAAGCAGCCGCGGUAAUACGUAGGGGGCAAGCGUUAUCCGGAUUUACUGGGUGUAAAGGGAGCGUAGACGGCAGUGCAAGUCGGGAGUGAAAGGCGGGGGCUCAACCCCAGGACUGCUCUGGAAACUGUACGGCUGGAGUGCAGGAGAGGGAAGUGGAAUUCCUAGUGUAGCGGUGAAAUGCGUAGAUAUUAGGAGGAACCCCAGUGGCGAAGGCGGCCUACUGGACCGUAACUGACGUUGAUGCUCGAAAGCGUGGGGAGCAAACAGGAUUAGAUACCCCAGUAGUC